AGUGAACGCUGGCGGCAGGCCUAACACAUGCAAGUCGAGCGGCAGCGCGGUGGCAACCCUGUCUUCGAGCGGCGGACGGGUGAGGAAUUCGUCGGAAUCUGCCUUUUUGUGUUGGCUAACGUAGUGACACUUACGCUAAUACCGCAUCCGUCCUACGGGCGAACGUGGGGGACCGCAAGGCCUCACGCCGAUAGAUGAGCCGACGACCGAUUAGCUAGUUGGUGGGGUAAAGGCCCACCAAGGCGACGAUCGGUAGCUGGUCUGAGAGGAUGAUCAGCCACACUGGGACUGAGACACGGCCCAGACUCCUACGGGAGGCAGCAGUGGGGAAUAUUGGACAAUGGGCGCAAGCCUGAUCCAGCCAUGCCGCGUGUGUGAAGAAGGCCUUCGGGUUGUAAAGCACGUUUGUCCGGAAAGAAAUCCCUGGAGCUAAUACCUUCGGGGGAUGACGGUACCGGAAGAAUAAGCACCGGCUAACUUCGUG
rnacentral:rRNA from 1 species